ensembl:lncRNA
ACAUUUUCUCGCAUGCCUGGACACGACAGAACCGUUUGGUAGGACACAGACAUGAGUGUGACAGCUUGAAAUCCCCAGUCCAUGGAAGAAGCAAUCAAUUUUCAUCUUCCUCAUUGAUGAGCUCCUCUGCAGUAUGAGGUUAUAUAGGCCGUUUGUGUGGAAAGCCUUCAUUUCUGGCUGCCAUGUUGAAGAACCUUGGGAAGACUUGACUUCUUUCAUGCUCAUCAGUUCCAAAAACCUGACCUCCUUAGAGGAUGUCGUGGGGGCAGAGCUGGGCCAAUGUGCAGCUGUGAGCGUGAGCGCGGUGAGCGGGCAGCACGUGCCGUGCCAGCUGUGCCCAACGCGCACCGGCAGCCCUCCAGCAAACGUCCCAUUGUGCUGUGCAUGCUUACUGGAAAGUGGCUUUGCGAGCAGAGCUAUUUCAACCAGCUGCUGGGGAACUUCAUGGAGUGCUGCAGGACCUCAGCGCACAGAGGUUGUCAUGCUGUGACCUGGGGGAGAACAAUGAGGGAAGCACAAAGGUUACCCAGAAAAUUGGUCAAUGGAGAAAGAAGGGCUGAGCCUCUUGCUGCAGCCUGCAGGACAUGGGGACGUCGCACCCAGCUCUCUCUCUGCACAGCAGUUCUGACUUUCCUCCCAUUUCCCUGUGCUGACCUUCCACCAGGAUUGACUGGUAGCCCGUGUCCACUGGCUGCACUAUUUGGACAGUAGUUGUCUCCUUUGGAUUUCUUACUUCUUUCAGCAGCAUGAUGAAAAUGCAACUUUGUGGCCUGCAUGACAAAGAAUUUCCCAAAACCUCUGGAUUUAAUAAUAAUAAUUAAAAAACCCUACAAAAG